rfam:Ovis aries breed Texel chromosome 7, whole genome shotgun sequence.
CCUGGUGGCUCAGAUGGUAAAGCGUCUGCCUGCAAGGCGGAAGACCUGGGUUCAAUCCCUGGGUCAGGA